UUGGAUGUCCAUUCUAAAGCUGCUGCAGAGCAUAACCUCGAUGCAAUCAAGGAAUUUUCUCGGUUUAAUGAGUACUUCAUUGGAGAAAAAGUGGGGUUAUUUGGUGAAGACGGUACUGGUACACAGGUUUAUAUAUGGAAUUUAGACAGAUGGGGUGAAGAUUACGCCUUGGAAUGGAACCCCGAGAACACUGAUGAAAAUCCUGCUGGUCAUGGUAACGGAGGCAUAUUAAUCCGUUCAAAAAGAGUCAGAUCACGUCCAAGACAGACAAGUAAAGAUGUGCCAUUGGAUUAUUCGCUUAAGGCUUAUCUAGAAGUUAUGUUCCUGAAUCCUCAGAUGAAGAUCACUGUCCAAGGUUCUCUGGUCAUAACCCGUCAUUUGGAGAAAACCCUUGAUAAGACGUCUGUUAUGUCCGGUGAAAUAAAGGGAAGGACCAUCUGGCUGACGCUGGGGAUGAGUGUUGAAGAAUAUGAUAGAGUUAACUGUGGGAUGUUCUUGUUUUGGCAUGGCCGUCUAAUAGAGUCUUACAAACGAGUUGGUGGUCAACAGCACAGUCCUGACGUUGGGCGUGGAAUGAUAGGAGUUGCAGAUAUUACCGACAUCAUUGUAUGAUUUGUUUUUCAAGUUCUUUGCUCUUCUCUUUUCCUGUUUGUUUACCCUUGUAUCCCUGGCAUUAACUUCUUGAUGUAUUUUGCAGGAUAAUGAAGAUGGUAGUACUUGGGUUCUUAACAGCAAGCAAGGGUUUCAAGAUUGUGAAAUGUAUGUCAAACUGGAGUAGUGGCUCGGAAGAAAAGCAGAUGAAUACUGGGAUACAAAUUUUGACAAGCUUGAAUUGAGAGAAGACUGUGAGCACAUCGAGGCUGUUGCUGACUGGGUUCAGUGCAACAGCUGUCGUAAAUGGAGAGUGCUGAGAGUGGGCUUCGAUAAAGACUCUGCCCACUGAAUGGUUUUGCCACAUGCCGCCUUUCAAUGGGAAAUGUGAGAUUGCACAGCAACAGAUGGAAGUUGGGGUGAUCACGGUUGCUGCGAAGAGAUCUGGUGACACAAAGGUAGCCCAGCCGAAGGUUCAAAGACUCCGUCAAGAUGAAGAUGUUAAGAAUGUAAGGUUAAUCCUGCCAUCAACUUACAAAGAGGGGAAAAGGCCUUCCAAUGCCAGGAGCUGUGAAGGUAUGCAUGCUCUGUAGGCAAAAAAGAAGCCAUGAAUCUGCAAGAAUGAUAGUUUUUGUAACCCCUGUUUUUAAAUUGUUUUUUCUUGCACGAGCUAAUGAUUUGCUAUCAUAUGAUU